GGACGAACGCUGGCGGCGUGCUUAACACAUGCAAGUCGAACGGAGAUUAUUAAUGAAGCUUGCGAUUUAAUAAUCUUAGUGGCGGACGGGUGAGUAACGCGUGGGCAACCUACCCAUAAGCGGGGGAUAACAGUUGGAAACGACUGCUAAUACCGCAUAAGCUAUAGAGGUCGCAUGACCUAAAUAGUAAAGGUGGCAUUUUAAAGAUGCUAUCACUUAUGGAUGGGCCCGCGUCUGAUUAGCUAGUUGGUGGGGUAGCGGCCUACCAAGGCAACGAUCAGUAGCCGGCCUGAGAGGGUGGACGGCCACACUGGGACUGAGACACGGCCCAGACUCCUACGGGAGGCAGCAGUGGGGAAUAUUGCGCAAUGGGGGAAACCCUGACGCAGCGACGCCGCGUGAGCGAAGAAGGCCAUAGGGUCGUAAAGCUCUGUUGUAAGGGACGAAUGUUUAUCUGGCGAAUAGUCAGAUAAAGUGACGGUACCUUACCAGCAAGCCCCGGCUAACUACGUGCCAGCAGCCGCGGUAAGACGUAGGGGGCGAGCGUUGUCCGGAAUUACUGGGCGUAAAGAGCACGUAGGCGGAUAAUUAAGUCAGAUGUGAAAGACCGGGGCCCAACCUCGGGGUUGCAUCUGAAACUGGAUAUCUUGAGGGCAGGAGAGGAAAGUGGAAUUCCUGGUGUAGCGGUGAAAUGCGUAGAAAUCAGGAGGAAUACCAGUGGCGAAGGCGACUUUCUGGACUGACCCUGACGCUGAGGUGCGAAAGCGUGGGUAGCAAACAGGAUUAGAUACCCUGGUAGUCCACGCUGUAAACGAUGGAUACUAGGUGUGGGAGGUAUCGACCCCUUCCGUGCCGGAGCUAACGCAAUAAGUAUCCCGCCUGGGGAGUACGGUCGCAAGGCUG
rnacentral:rRNA from 1 species